CCCAGGUGUGCCAGGUGUUCCAGGUGCUCAGGGGGUGCCCGGCCGUGCCCGGCUGUGCCCAGGUGUGCUGGUCUCAGUCGGUGCCCGGCCGUGCCCAGGUGCUCAGUUGGUGCCCGGCUGUGCCCGGCUGUGCCCAGGUGCUCAGUUGGUGCCCGGCUGUGUUCAGGUGUUCAGUUGGUGCCCGGCCGUGCCCAGGUGUGCCAGGUGCUCAGUUGGUGCCCGGCCGUGCCCGGCCGUGCCCGCGCCGGGCGAAGCGGAAGCUCUGCAGGGGGUUCCCGGAGCCGCGCGGCU